CGGAGUGUAGCGCAGUUGGUAGCGCACCUGCUUUGGGAGCAGGAUGUCGGGAGUUCGAGUCUCCCCACUCCGACCA
rnacentral:tRNA from 5 species